CUGCCUCCCGAGUACUGGGAUUAAAGGCGUGCGCAAACAACUCCCGGCUUGCCCAUUUAUUUUUUUAAGCCUUUGUUUAUUCAUGUUGUGCACCUGUGUGCAUGUGCUCAUGUAUGUCGCCCAACCCUCCACAGCUCACACACGCCAGAACACAUGUGGAGGACAGAGGACAACUUUAUGGAGUCAGUUCUCUCCUUCCACUGUGUGGAUUCCAGGGAUCGAACUCAGGCUGUCAGGCUUGGUAGCAAGUGCCCUCACCUGCUGCGCUGUCUCACUGGCUCCUUGCCCAUUUUAAAAUUGGGUGUUGUUGCCGUAUUUUUAUGUUCUUGAUUCAACAAGCGAUGUGAGUGGGGAGUGGAAUUUUAGGACAUACCAGUUUCCUGCUCACUAGGUCUGAGCAAACAAAUAUCCAGGCACAGGAGUGGAGAGAAGACUGGAGACCAGCAGGAUUCCCUGCAGGAUGGGAUGCAAGGGUCCAGUUCUGGGCACGCCCUCAACCUUCCUGCUGUGUUCCCUUCACAUCCCUCCUACUCCAUCAGCUCUUGGGAGGCGGAGACAGGAGGAUCCCUGUGAGUUCAAGGCCAGCCUGGUCUACCGAUCCAGGUCCAGGACAGCUAGGGCUGUUACACAGAGAAACCCUGUCUUGAUACCCUACCCCCAAAAAAGUAUAAUAAUGUUUAUAAUGAGUACUUAUGGAUGAAGAUAAUAUAAUGAAUAACUACUUGGUGGAUAUGACAAUCUUAAUAUUAUUUAAAAGCUCAUUAUCUUGAUUUUUAAAUGAAAUUUAAGUCAUUAAAAUGAAGUCAUUAAAAGA